CAAGCGGGAAGGGGCAGAGAGAGGGAGACACAGAAUCCGAAGCAGGCUCCAGGCUCCGAGUUGUCAGCUCAGAGCCCGACGCGGGACUCGACCCCACGAACCGUGAGAUCAUGACCUGAGCCGAAGUGGGACGCUUGACCGACCGAGCCACCCUGGCGCCCCUGUUGAGGUUAUUUCUUCACUGAGAGCCAAAAACGUGCUGGGGGGAGAGGGGGUCGAUCUAGGGACGGAUUGGGUAUGUAGGUGGAGGGCCUUAGGCCUUGGGCUCAGCUCUCCUGGACACAAAUUUCGAGGUGGGCGGAAUAAACCUCCAGGCUGAGCCUGGGGGAACAGAACAGGUUCCCUAGUGAGACCCUAGUGCCCUAGUGAGACCCAUUGUGGACACAGGUGGGAAGGUGUGGACGCCCCUGAGCACACGUGUGUGGAUCCGAGCGCCACGAGACACUGCUGCGGGGGCUCUGGUUCCCCGUGGACACCGGUGUGGGGUUCUGGGCUCCUCUGGACACGUGGGGAGCUUCAGCAGCCUGCACGACAGCGGUGGGUAGCAUGAACCCCAAGCUCUCGCAGCCCCAUUUCCCUCCCGCUCCUUCCGCGAUUUACCUGAUUCGGAUCAGGCCCCCAGCCCCACACGCCCCGGCGCGGCCUCCGCCUUCCGGCCCGGCCCCUAAGUCCCACUCCCGCAUCCGCGGGGCGUGCUUUGGGGGUGGGGGGGGCGCCCCGCGCGGAGAGCCUGGGCGGAAUCCGUUCCGGAAGAGACCGGUUUGGGGGGCGAGGGGCGUGGCCCAAGUCACUGACUGCGCUGGGAGUUCUUGGAAGUCGCUCGGUGCGGCGCGCAGGGGCGGGACCCGGGGGGAAGAGCGCGAGACGAGGUGAACUCGUCUAUCCCGCCCCCGUCUGUGAUUGACACCCCGAUCGCUCCGCCCCGCGUUGUGGUAGUUACUGACCUCGACCUCCCCGCCUAGGACUCACAUUUCCUGGCGGAGAUCGAGGCCCCGCCCCGCCUGGCCUAGGCCUGCGCCUUCCUGGCUCGGACGCGCGGACCUCGCCCCAGGUUCCUGGAACCGGGCAAACCGGUCCGGGUGCUGCUUCUGUGGCUCAGCCCUUUCACAGGUUUGCGGAGGCUUUAGCGGGGCGCCUGUCCCUUAGGUCCUGCCGAGAGGAGAGUGGAGGGGAUCUUGGAUGGCCGACACGACUAGAGCCGUCCCUUACUUGCUCUCCUGCAGGGCGAUCCUCUCUGGCCUCAGUUUCCCAUCCGUAAAAGGUGGAGUUAAAAGGACCAGUCUCAAAGGAGAGGUUGCAAAUGAAUCAUUCAUUCACAAAAACCACUUAGCAAGCACCUGCUAGACUCGUCUCUGGCCUCGAAAGGAGGCCCCAGGCCAGAAGAGGAGACAAACCCAGAAACGAAUAUAAAAUUGCUUUGUGAUGUUACAGGGAAAAAAAAAAAAAAAAAAGCUCCUAAUCUGAGCGUCCGUAAACAAAGGUCUUGGACCAAAAUGGGGGGCACUUGUAGCUUUGUCUCUCUUCCAGAGGCAGAAUUUUUCUAACUCUGAAGCGGUGGCCAAACUGAUUCAAUGCUAUUUAAAUAAGAGGACGAAUCCCUUUGUUUCUCUCUUUUCAGCUUUUAGACUUUCCCUAGUCUUCUGACUGAAGAUAAGCCCUUUCCUGUCUCCUGUGGUAAUAAUGUGUCGUAAACUGUGGGGAAUCUCUGUGCCUAACUAAGAAAGCUGUCUGGACCCUCAUACUGGCUACUGUUUCAGCAGAAUCUUAAGACAUUGUUUUGUUUUCACUGUAGCUUGUAUUAAAGGUUACCUUCUAAGUAUGGUCCGUGAUUAACAAGUGGCUUACGUUCAGAAAAAUUUUUAGGUAAAUAAUAGUACAGUUGUUUUGCAGAUAUGACAAAAAUCCUGGCCAUCAACGGUCUGAAAUUUGGUAAAUUCUAUGCUAAGAGUCAUGGGCAGCCACUGAUUAAAUGCGACAAUAACUACUAAGCACUUAGCACUUGCCUCCCCCAGACAACCUCAUCGACUCUUCCAGGCCUGGGUUGGGCAUUCCUGGGACGGACAUUUGAACACAGAUGCGAACUAGAACAUUAAUUUACCCUUCCAGACGGUGAGUAGUGUUUGAAGGAAGGCUGAGAAGAGGGGUAAAGGGGCUGGGAGGCAGAGUGGGGAGCGUCUUUAGAUCAGAUGGCCAAAGAAGGCCUCUCCCAGGAGGUGACAUUCCGGCAGAGAUCUGAACAAAGUGAGAAUGGAUGUCUGGGAGAGGAGCAUUGCAAACAGAAGCAACACCAAGUGCAAAGGCCCUGGACUGGGACAUGCCUGGCCUGUUCUCCAAGCAGAAAAGAGGCCACGGUGGAUGAAGCAGAGGGGAGCUGGAGAGUGACAUUAUCCAACUUGCAUUUUUAGAAGAUCUGUGUGGCUGCGGGGUAGGAUAGAUUGUGGGGGCGAGAGCAGGGGGGAAGCCACUGCCCUGAUCCGUGUGAGAGGUAAAGAGCAGCCCACACCAACAUCAGAGCCAGGAGGUGGAGAAAGUGGAGUGGGAUGAGAGGUCAAGUUGACAGCACCUGUGACUGGGUGCCAUGGGCAGGAAGGAGAAAAAGGGAUCCAAGGAGGAUUCCUCAGUUGGGAGGCCAGGGAGACAUGGGAAGGGGCCUCGGACAGAAAGCCUGGGGGUGGGGGAGGGGGUCCAGGCUGGAGAGCAAAAUUUGGGAGCCGGCAUAGAGUGGCAUUUAAGGCCCUGCGACUGAAUGAGACUACCUACAAAGGGGUGAGUGUAGACAGCCAGAGAGAGGCCCAGGGCCUGAGGUGGGAGGAAACCAGAAGUGUGGAGGCCUGGGAGGAGGCAAGAGUCAACCCGGUCAAAUCCCUAGGAUGAAACCAAACUCUGGAGCUGAGCGGGGACGCU
rnacentral:lncRNA from 1 species